AAUACAGUAAGCUAAAAUAUUUAAUUUAAUUUACAAUAACAAGAGGGCCCCCGAAUAAACAAAAGUAAAGAGGACUGUGAACCUACAGUUUGGAAAAUGCAGAUCCAAUGGUAGUCCUCGAUGAGAUCAGCUAUCUACAGUCUAUACUGAACCUGAAAUGGGUGGAAAGGAGUUGGGUGAGAUUUUGCAAUCCCAAUGAGUAAACAGACAUUAUCAUAAAUAUCUAAAGGCGAGUAAAAUGGAGGCAAGUUUAAACAACAAAUUUCAACCCAUUUCAUAAUGUUUUCAAUUUAUUUCUUAAACCAUAAAAUAUUUGUAAUUUACCAAAACAGUUGUUAAGGCUUAUGUCUUUUAUUAAAACAAGGCUCAAGCCAAAACUAAUCCUCGGGGAUACCUUGGCCGAGGCAUCUAACCGAGUCCGCCAAGGGUGUUAAAAUAUUCACACGUGAAACACAUUUUUAUUUUUAAAACCAGCCGUUCCUUGGCGUUGGCCGAGUUACACAUUCACGUGGGGGUUCGACGUGAAGUGAGCUCUAAUACUACCCCGGGAGUUACCCUCCUCGCCUCUACAACCGGAGUAACUAUAUAACUGGGUUUACCGUGCCCCUCUAAUAGGCAGUCCACGGAAACCCGUCACUGCAGUGACUAACCCACCAAUUUUAAUAAAAUUUCGACAGUAUAACGUGGCUUUUAUUUAUUUAUCCAGCCUGCAUAGUAAAAACAACUUACAUAAAUUUCCCAAUGCACUCACAAAAUAUAGCCACAUAUACUCAUUUCUCAUAAGCCAUUCCUAGGAAAAUAUAUAUUUUUCAAGUCAAUUUGUAGCCUCCAAUUACUCAAUUUCAUAAUCAAUACAAUAUAUUUUUAUUUGUCACAUUUAUUCCUAAAACAUCAAAAAUCCCGUUUUAAUCUCGUUUUCAUUUCAUAAAAUACAUAAAGGGCAUUUAAAAAUAAACUCUAGAUAAUUUACAAUAAUAAUAAGUUUACUCACCGUUUGUACAAACUAAAAGCUUUCUAAGCGCCCCGAUCACUACUCGUCGGGUACGACUUCUUUGCCUUUUCCGGAAGGCUCUC
rnacentral:lncRNA from 1 species